rnacentral:rRNA from 1 species
GACGAACGCUGGCGGCGUGCUUAACACAUGCAAGUCGAACGGAAAGGCCCUGCUUUUGUGGGGUGCUCGAGUGGCGAACGGGUGAGUAACACGUGAGUAACCUGCCCUUGACUUUGGGAUAACUUCAGGAAACUGGGGCUAAUACCGGAUAGGAGCUCCUGCUGCAUGGUGGGGGUUGGAACGUUUCGGCGGUUGGGGAUGGACUCGCGGCUUAUCAGCUUGUUGGUGGGGUAGUGGCUUACCAAGGCUUUGACGGGUAGCCGGCCUGAGAGGGUGACCGGCCACAAGGGGACUGAGAUACGGACCAGUGUCCUACGGGAGGCAGCAGUGGGGAAUAUUGCACAAUGGGCGGAAGCCUGAUGCAGCAACGCCGCGUGCGGGAUGACGGCCUUCGGGUUGUAAACCGCUUUCGCCUGUGACGAAGCGUGAGUGACGGUAAUGGGUAAAGAAGCACCGGCUAACUACGUG